GCCGAGAUGGCGGAACUGGUAGACGCACGGGACUCAAAAUCCCGCGCCGCAAGGCGUGCCGGUUCGAUUCCGGCUCUCGGCACCA
rnacentral:tRNA from 2 species